UACGUAGGGCGCAAGCGUUGUCCGGAAUUAUUGGGCGUAAAGAGCUCGUAGGCGGCCUGUCACGUCUGCUGUGAAAUCCCGGGGCUUAACCCCGGGCGUGCAGUGGAUACGGGCUGGCUGGAGGCAGGCAGGGGAGAACGGAAUUCCCGGUGUAGCGGUGAAAUGCGCAGAUAUCGGGAGGAACACCGGUGGCGAAGGCGGUUCUCUGGGCCUGUACUGACGCUGAGGGGCGAAAGCGUGGGGAGCGAACAGGAUUAGAUACCCGGGUAGUCC
rnacentral:rRNA from 1 species